rnacentral:rRNA from 1 species
UGCGCAGGCGGGGAAAUAAGUCAGUGGUGAAAAGCUGCCGCUUAACGGUAGUCUUGCCAAUGAUACUGUUUUUCUUGAGUAUGGUUAAGGUAGGCGGAAUGUGCAGUGUAGCGGUGAAAUGCAUAGAGAUUGCACAGAAGGCCGAUUGCGGAGGCAGCUUACUGAGCCAUAACUGACGCUGAGGCACGAAAGCGUGGGGAGCGAACAGGAUUAGAUACCCUGGUAGUC